UAGGGAAUCUUCGGCAAUGGACGGAAGUCUGACCGAGCAACGCCGCGUGAGUGAAGAAGGUUUUCGGAUCGUAAAGCUCUGUUGUUAGAGAAGAACGUUGGUAGGAGUGGAAAAUCUACUAAGUGACGGUAACUAACCAGAAAGGGACGGCUAACUACGUGCCAGCAGCCGCGGUAAUACGUAGGUCACGAGCGUUGUCCGGAUUUAUUGGGCGUAAAGCGAGCGCAGGCGGUUCUUUAAGUCUGAAGUUAAAGGCAGUGGCUUAACCAUUGUACGCUUUGGAAACUGGAGGACUUGAGUGCAGAAGGGGAGAGUGGAAUUCCAUGUGUAGCGGUGAAAUGCGUAGAUAUAUAGAGGAACACCGGUGGCGAAAGCGGCUCUCUGGUCUGUAACUGACGCUGAGGCUCGAAAGCGUGGGGAGCAAACAGG
rnacentral:rRNA from 1 species